UGGGGAAUCUUGCACAAUGGGGGCAACCCUGAUGCAGCGACGCCGCGUGAGCGAUGAAGCCCUUCGGGGUGUAAAGCUCUUUCGUCAGGGAAGAUAGUGACGGUACCUGGAGAAGCAGCUGCGGCUAACUACGUGCCAGCAGCCGCGGUAAUACGUAGGCAGCGAGCGUUGUUCGGAGUUACUGGGCGUAAAGGGUGUGUAGGCGGUUGUUUAAGUUUGGUGUGAAAUCUCCCGGCUCAACUGGGAGGGUGCGCCGAAUACUGAGCGACUAGAGUGCGGGAGAGGAAAGUGGAAUUCCUGGUGUAGCGGUGAAAUGCGUAGAUAUCAGGAGGAACACCGGUGGUGUAGACGGCUUUCUGGACCGUAACUGACGCUGAGACACGAAAGCGUGGGUAGCAAACAG
rnacentral:rRNA from 1 species